rnacentral:lncRNA from 1 species
CUGACUACCAUUGCUCCUUACCAUUGAAAGGAAUAGUGAGCGUGUCAAGGAACUUGGCACUAAUACGUCCAGGUAUGUCUAUGUCUUGUUCUACAGUGACUUUUACACUAUGCUACUCUACAUGUAAACAUGGGUUACAGUACAUACAGUAGAUCAUACUGUGUUUGAUUUCUUUCAGAGAGUCAUGGAGUUGGAGGCUAAUCAGACCCCACAUGAAAUCAUUAAUGUAGACGAGGCAGGGUUUAACCUGGCAAAAACAAGUUGGCGGGGAAGAAACGUCAUUGGGAAAAGGACCACCGUUGAUGUGCCAGAUGACCUCCACAAACAACUCGCACCAGAAGCAGAAAGGGAACAGGUGGAAAGUGUAUGAUCAUCGGCCACAUGACCAAAUGUACCUCCUGGAUGCAAUGGAUGCCGGCUGCAGAGACAUCUCAGCUGAAGACUGCCAGGGGUGGAUAAGGCAUGCCAAGCAUUUCUAUCGAAGGUGCAUAGCGAGAGACGACAUAAGAUGUGAUGUGGACGAGAACAUGUGGCCAAAUGCUGAAGAUCGUAUAGAUUAG